rnacentral:rRNA from 1 species
UACGUAGGUGGCAAGCGUUGUCCGGAAUUACUGGGCGUAAAGGGCUCGUAGGUGGCCAACUAAGUCAGACGUGAAAUCCCCAGGCUCAACUUGGGAACUGCGUCUGAUACUGGAUGGCUUGAAUUCGGGAGAGGGAUGCAGAAUUCCAGGUGUAGCGGUGAAAUGCGUAGAUAUCUGGAGGAAUACCGGUGGCGAAGGCGGCAUCCUGGACCGAGAUUGACACUGAUGAGCGAAAGCUAGGGGAGCAAACGGG